CGCUCACGAUCAGGUGCGGCAACCCAUCGCCGCCGCACAGCAACCCCUGCUUCGCGUAGUUGUCGAACCUCCUCUUCGUCUUCUCCACGCUCGCCUUAAUGGCCAGUGCGGGGGCGCUGCCCGCCUCGUAGAGCUUCAGCGACGACUCCAGCUUCUUUAUCGACUGCUUCUCACGCUUCGCGAACUGCUUCGACUCCUUGCAUGGGGUGAGCCCCGAGAUGUCGGCGCCGGCGGGGAGAGGGGCGGAGAGGAGGAUGGAGGAGAGGGCCAGCGCGGCGGAGAACGCCUUCAGGUCGGAGGACACGUUGUUGUUGUUGUUGUUGUUGGUGGUGCUGCAGACGAUGGUGGUUGUGGCGGCGGACCUUAGCUUUGGGCUUAGUUUGGGGCGGAGGGCGGCGGGCUUGGAGAGGUUGGAGGGAAUGGUGAGAGACAUUGUUGGAUGCGAGGGGUGUGUGAGAUGGGAGUGUGGGGGUGAGAAGAGAAGGGAAGGUUUUUAGAUUCAGUGAGGAGGAGAUUGAAGAUUGGUGGUGGU
rnacentral:lncRNA from 1 species